rnacentral:rRNA from 1 species
UACGGGGGGGGGCAAGCGUUGUUCGGAAUUACUGGGCGUAAAGGGCUCGUAGGCGGCCAACUAAGUCGGAUGUGAAAUCCCCAAGCUUAACUUGGGAACUGCAUCCGAUACUGGAUGGCUUGAAUCCGGGAGAGGGAUGCAGAAUUCCAGGUGUAGCGGUGAAAUGCGUAGAUAUCUGGGAGGAAUACCGGUGGCGAAGGCGGCAUCCUGGACCGGCAUUGACGCUGAGGAGCGAAAGCUAGGGGAGCAAACGGG